GGAGGGUGCGAGCGUUAAUCGGAAUUACUGGGCGUAAAGCGCGCGUAGGCGGCGGUGAUCAGUCGGGAUGUGUAAAAGCCCUGGGCUUAACCUGGGAAUUGCACUCGAUACUGUCAGGCUAGAGUAUGGGAGAGGGAAGUGGAAUUUCCGGUGUAGCGGUGAAAUGCGUAGAUAUCGGAAGGAACACCAGUGGCGAAGGCGACUUCCUGGCCCAAUACUGACGCUCAGGUGCGAAAGCGUGGGUAGCGAACAGGAUUAGAUACCCUGGUAGUCCACGCCCGUAAACGAUGAGAACUAGAUGUCGGGAGGAUUUACCUCUCGGUGUCGCAGCUAACGCGUUAAGUUCUCCGCCUGGGGAGUACGCCGGCAAACGGUA
rnacentral:rRNA from 1 species